UCGUCGCCCUGCUAAGAAACCACUUAUUUCCAAGAAUAAUCGGACAGCUAGAAAAAAAUAUGCGAAAGAACAUCUUUCUUCGACUGCCGAAAUGUGGGAAAAGGUAAUUUGGAGCGACGAAUCCAAGUUUUUACUGUUUGGAACAGAUGGAAUUACGUACGUACGACGCCCCGACAAUGCUCGCUAUAGUCGCUAUGACCCCAAGUACCAGCUCCCUACAGUCAAGCACGGCGGCGGCUCCCUUAUGGUAUGGGGAUGUUUCAGUGCAAGUGGCGUUGGUCCGUUACAUCGAAUAAACGGGAUUAUGACAAAGGAAGUAUAUGAAGAAAUAUUACAAGAUGUUUUUCUUCCCUGGGCACGCCAAAAUUUCGGCAGGGCGUUUAUAUUUCAACAAGAUAAUGACCCGAAACAUUCAUCGAAUCUUGUUAAGCAGUGGUUCAAAAAACGUAGAGUGAGGAAUUUGGAAUGGCCCAGUCAAAGUCCGGACUUGAAUCCGAUAGAAAAUCUAUGGAAGGAGCUAGGACGUCGUGUGAGUGCAAGAAAAGCAAGAAAUAUCAAUGAAAGAUUUGAGCAAUUAAAGGAAGAAUGGGAACGCAUUCCAAAUUCUUUCCUCGCAAAGCUCAUUGCAUCACUGCCCCGAAGAUGCCAAGCUGUUCUUGAUGCAAAGGGUUUCAGUACCAAUACCAAGUACUAAUCAUAUAUUGUGAUUUUCAGUCAAGAAUCUGUUAUUUUUGUUGUUUUUUUUGUUAAUAAACCACUUUUACCUAUA